rnacentral:tRNA from 1 species
GGGGUUGUGGCUCAGCGGUAGAGCGCUCAACUAGAACGUGCGAGGUUCUGGGUUCAAUCCUCAGCACCA